UUCAUUUCUUGGCAUAUAGCUCAAAGAGGACUGCUGUGAUAAGGGCAUCUGAUGAUUUUUGGCUGAGAGUCCCAGCGUCACAUACAAUCCAUAUUGCAUCUGUUGCCUACAACACCUUAUUCCUUGGAGAAUUCAUGCAGCCUGAUUGGGAUAUGUUUCAUAGCAUUCACCCGAUGGCUGAAUACCAUGGAGCAGCUCGUGCGGUCGGAGGAUGUGCCAUUUAUGUUAGUGACAAACCCGGAGACCAUGACA